rnacentral:rRNA from 1 species
UACGUAGGGGGGCAAGCGUUGUCCGGAUUUAUUGGGCGUAAAGAGCUCGUAGGCGGUUAUCCACGUCGGAUGUGGAAAGCCUCAGGGCUCAACCCUGAGAUGCCAUUCGAUACGGGGAUAGCUAGAGGUAGGUAGGGGAAAGUGGAAAUUCCUGGUGUAGCGGUGAAAUGCGCAGAUAUCAGGAGGAACACCGGUGGCGAAGGCGGCUUUCUGGGCCUUACCUGACGCUGGAGGAGCGAAAGCUGGGGGAGCGAACAGGA